rnacentral:rRNA from 1 species
GCUAUAAAAGUAUUAAAGGUCACACCUGCCCAGUGAAAUUUUAAACGGCCGCGGUAUCCUAACCGUGCAAAGGUAGCGUAAUCACUUGUCCCCUAAAUAGAGACUAGUAUGAACGGUUAAAUGAGGAUAAACCUGUCUCUUAUGGGAGAUCAGUGAAACUGAACUUCCAGUACAAAUGCUGGAAUACACACACAAGACGAGAAGACCCUGCGGAGCUUUAAAACUACUCUCAAACUAUAUUGAGUACAAGUUUUUAGUUGGGGCAACUUCGGAACAAAACAAAGCUUCCGAGAACUAGAGAUCUUCUCUUACAACGGCUAACAAGCCAAAGUACAUAAACCAGACGACCCGGACCAUCCGAUCAGCGAACCAAGUUACCCCAGGGAUAACAGCGCUAUCUUCUUUAAGAGUCCAUAUCAACAAGAAGGCUUACGACCUCGAUGUUGGAUCAGGACACCCAAAUGGUGCAGCCGCUAUUAAGGGUUCGUUUGUUCAACGAUUAACAGUCCUACGUGAUCG